UGGUACCCAGGAUCUGAGAUAGGAGGCCUCUGAGGAAGUGCUGGAGAGCAGAGGGCAGAGGGCUCGCUGUACACGGAUCGAAAUGGGGCUGCUGCCCGAGCCGACAGGAAAUCGGGAGCAGGCUGAGGAGAUUAAAAAUGAGGACCAGGAUUAAAACCGGGUGGUGGCCCGGGCUUUUUAAGCAGGGAAGAAGGUAAAGGCAGGCAAGGGUUGUGCUGGGGAGAGCUUCCGACACGGCUGAAUUCUCCCCCUUGUAAGCAAUGACCAUGACCACUGCUAGUUCCUGGUACCUCGAGCCAGCGUCGGCGAUCAGGGCCAAUCUUGCUCUGUAUAGACUUUAAAGUAAUUAGAGGCUUGGGGAAACUGAGUUCCAGUCUGGGAGGGACUUCUUUGUGGCCACACAGGGAUAUGCAUCAAACACGCGUGGCAGGAAGCUUGGCCCGCGAAACACCAGCUGAGACCUGUGAGUUGUCCGCUGACCGGGCAAGCCAAGGUUCCCUUGCAUAGCGUGAGAUCAAGAAAUGCCCUUGACCAUGAGGCAUCAUGGCCUCCGCUGGCAGAAGGCUCAACCAGCAGUCUCCGCUGACUCAUUCUUGGGGGCCCUUUAGUACUGUGCUCGGCUGGACAACUUGAAGUUUCUCCUGGAGGUGGAAUUAUAUGUAUUGUCUGGAAACAAGAUUGUGUCCUGGGGAAAGUGACUGCCUAGAUGUUGUCCACAGAUGGUUUUGGGAGUCAGAAACCUCUGAAGAGUGUUAGACCUCCAGAUAUCCAAUUACUGCUGUAUUGCUUCAAUGAAAGUGAACUUGGAGGACAAGGUGGUCGUGGGGAGAUGACAGCCAUUCCUCAGCUGUGAAAAGAACCAUGCCUUCAGGAGUUAUGAAAAAUGAAGCACUUUUCUCAUUAGAAAAGAAUUAUCCAUUUCCUUCUUCUAUCGCCAAAGGCUAUUUUUCUGCCAAUUCAAUGAGAGUGUAAACUUGGGAUUCAUUGCUUGCAGGGAAAAAAAGAAGCAAGUGUACUCUGGGAUCCUCAAGAGUCAAUGAUAAGUGGGUAAAUGGAAUUGAAAAGACUAAGUGCUGGGGGCUGAGCUGGGCUCACUGAAUGGUGCUGUGCACAGGGCAGAACCAACAGUAUGUGAACAAGUUCUGAUUUGCUAAAAAGGAAACAAGGUGAAAUAGCUAAAUUUGCUUUGAGCAAAUUUCUUUCUCCAUCAGAAUCAAAACAAUGGAUGCUAUUCUCUCCCCUGGUAAGAGUUUAAAAAUGCAUUGGAUCCAAGCCUAUUAAUUGUUUUUUUAAAAUUCUUUUAAACAUUUUUAUCUUCUUCAUCAUUCCCAUCACAACCAUUCAAACCCCCAUUAUAGGAAGGGUGAGCUAUCUCACUGCCUUUCUAUCUGAUCUUUGAGUCUUCAUUCUCUAUUUUAGUCCAUCCAAUAGUAGCAGCAGCAGCUGUAGUAAUCUUAAUAAAAAUAAUAGUUAUAAGAAAGCAAUAAUGAUAAAGCAGUAGCCUCAAACCUCAAGGGUUGGUAAGGCCAGCCUCUGCCACAGUGACAGUCCAAGGAGUAGGUAUAUGACCAAGUCAGUCAGAACUUUUCCCUGACACAUUAUAGAUGCUUAGUGAAAGAAACUCUUUACCUUGAUGUUGUUAAUCUGGAGCUACAUGAGGCCAUGGACCUCUUUGUAUGUGUGGCCGUGCCUCCCUCUCACAAAAAAGCUUUUGCUUUUCACACGACUGGGCAAUAGAAAAAGUUCAUUUUCAGUAGGAGAGAAUGAGGCCAACUUAUGGAAAGAAGGAAAGUGAGCAAGAGGGUGAGAAUGAGAGAUAGAUGCUAGGUGGCAAGAUGAUUUCCCUAGCCCCAGGGAUGAAUCAUGGUUCAUGGCUGUCCUCUUCUCCUUGACCAGUGAUUCAUCUAGGAAUGGACUUGUGACCAACUCUGGCCAAUAAGAUUGAAUGGGAUGCCUGCUUGGGGCUUUCCAAAAGGACUUUUCUCAGUGAUGGGGGUGGUACAUAAGAAGAAAGGCACUUUUUUCUCUAUCCCCUUCCUUCUUACUCGUGAUCCUAUUGUGUGAGAUCAUGAACUUAAACCCAGACCAUUGUCUAGUAUCCAUGAGGGGAGUUAUGGCCAGCCCCUCGAGCAUGGCAGAACAGAAGAGCAGACGUGGCCUUAAUGGUGUGACUGAACAGCUAAACCAACAUGGAGUCUUCUUUCAGCUUCGUUUGAGGGCGAGUAAUUAAAUGUCUCUGUUAUUGAAGCCACUGUUAAUCCUGUAGUCUGCUACUUGUAGUCAAACGCAAACCGACUUGAAAGCAAGAUAAAACAGAAGAACUAGGAGUUCAUAUUCUCCAAAUUACCUCCAGCCCAGACUUCUCUCUUGAGUUUCAGAUCCGGCUACCUGCUAGGCAUUGUACCCAGGAGUCCCAUGGAAUUUCAACUCAACAGAUCCCCAAACCAAACUCAUCCUCAUACUGUGUGAACCUCCACUUCGCCCUGUCCCCAGGAUCUACCCCGUUCACCUGGGCACACAAGCCAGGUACCUGGGAAUCACUCUAUAGUUUUCCUUGUCCCUCACCUACCUGUCCAGUUAGUUACAUCUAUUUGACCUUUUAAUCUGCCCUCUUCUCUCCGAUCCCAUUGCCACUGCUUUAGCUGGGGGCAGGGGUUCAUCAUCUUUCUCCAGGGCCACCACCUCUCAAGUGUUUUACUUGUCUAUGAUCAUGUUUCUCUCGAAAACUUCUACCAGCUUCCAGCACGGUCCACCCAAAGUGCAGCUCUGACCUUGUCAUUGUCUUGCCUGAGAUCCCUGAGGGACUCUCUAUGGCCUGAGACACUGGCUUUUAAGUGUGGUCUCUGGAUCAGCAGCAUCAACAUCACUAGGUAACUUGUGAGAAAACAAAUUCUCAGACCCCACUAAAGAGUAUCUACUGAAUCAGACACUCUGGGGAUAGGGCCCAGCUCUCUGUUUAAACAAGCCUUCUGAAGGAAUCUGAUGUACAAGGUUUAGAAGCCACUAUGGGCUUAAAGCCAUAAAUAAAUAAAUAAAUAAAUAAAUAAAUAAAUAAAUAAAUUCCUUGGUGUGGUAGGUUGAAUAGUAUCGCCAGAUUCUUGUCUACUUGGAACCUCAGAAUGUGACCUUACUUGGAAACAGUCUUUUGCUGAUAUAAUUAGUGAAGGAUCAUGGAUGAUAUCAUCCUGGAUUAGAAUGGGUCCUAAAUCCAGUGGCUGGGGUCCUUUUAUGAAGAAGAGAAACAGAGACACACACAGAGGAGAAAACGAUGUGAAGAAGGAGGCAGAGACUGGGGUUCCUCUGCCCUGAACCAAGAAAUGCAAUGCCUGGGGC